CCCUUAGAUGUUCUGGGCCGCACGCGCGCUACACUGAUGCAUUCAACGAGUCUAAAACCUGCUCUGAUAGGGGUGGGUAAUCUUUUGAAUGUGCAUCGUGAUUGGGAUAGAUGAUUGCAAUUUUUCAUCUUCAACGAGGAAUGCCUAGUAAACGCAAGUCAUCAGCUUGCAUUGAUUACGUCCCUGCCCUUUGUACACACCGCCCGUCGCUCCUGCCGAUUGAAUGAUCCGAUGAAUAUCAUGGAUUGAGGAUGCAAGUAGGUUAGCCUAUCUUCAUCUUCGAGAAGUGAAGUAAAUCUUAUCAUUUAGAGGAAGGAGAAGUCGUAACA
rnacentral:rRNA from 1 species